CCUACGGGUGGCAGCAGUGAGGAAUAUUGGUCAAUGGACGAGAGUCUGAACCAGCCAAGUAGCGUGAAGGAUGACUGCCCUAUGGGUUGUAAACUUCUUUUAUAAAGGAAUAAAAUGAGGCACGUGUGCCUUUUUGCAUGUACCUCAUGAAUAAGGAUCGGCUAACUCCGUGCCAGCAGCCGCGGUAAUACGUAGGGGGCAAGCGUUAUCCGGAUUUACUGGGUGUAAAGGGAGCGUAGGUGGCAUGGUAAGCCAGGAGUGAAAACCCGGGGCUUAACCCCGCGGAUUGCGUUUGGAACUGUCUGGCUGGAGUGCAGGAGAGGCAGGCGGAAUUCCUGGUGUAGCGGUGAAAUGUGUAGAUAUCAGGAGGAACCCCGGUGGCGAAGGCAGCCUGCUGGACUGUAACUGACGCUGAGGCUCGAAGGCGUGGGGAGCGAACAGGAUUAGAUACCCCGGUAGUC
rnacentral:rRNA from 1 species